rnacentral:tRNA from 1 species
GGAGAGCUCGCCUAAUGGUAUGGCAGCAGUCUUGAAAACUGCCGUCAGCAAUGACGUGGGGGUUCGAGUCCCUCGCUCUCCG